rnacentral:rRNA from 1 species
UACAGAGGUCUCAAGCGUUGUUCGGAUUCAUUGGGCGUAAAGGGUGCGUAGGUGGCGCUGUAAGUCAGGUGUGAAAUUUCGGAGCUCAACUUCGAAACUGCAUUUGAUACUGCGGUGCUUGAGGACUGGGGAGGAGACUGGAAUUUACGGUGUAGCAGUGAAAUGUGUAGAGAUCGGGAGGAACACCGGUGGCGAAGGCGGGUCUCUGGGCAAUUCCUGACGCUGAGGCGCGAAAGCGUGGGGAGCAAACGGG